rnacentral:rRNA from 1 species
UACGAAGGGGGCUAGCGUUGCUCGGAAUGACUGGGCGUAAAGGGCGCGUAGGCGGCUUGUCUAGUCGGAUGUGAAAUUCCUGGGCUUAACCUGGGGGCUGCAUACGAGACGUAUGGGCUUGAGUGCGGAAGAGGGUCGUGGAAUUCCCAGUGUAGAGGUGAAAUGCGUAGAUAUCUGGAGGAAUACCGGUGGCGAAGGCGGCGUUCUGGACUGCAACUGACACUGAGUGAACGAAAGCCAGGGGAGCAAACGGG